ACCCCUCCCCACCCUUGGACGUUGGCAUGUCCCCCAGGCUCCUCCUCGCACGUGUCCUGCCCCAGGCAGGUGGCAGGUAGGACGGACGUGUGGGCCGCUCCCACCUCAAACCCACGGCGUCAGAGGUGGGUGGGCAGGCAUCUUGGGGGCACUUCAGGAGAGUAUAAGCCAGCUCUCCCUCUGGGCAUUAGACUGCUGGUCACUGCUGCCCACUUCUCAGUCCUGGUGUUUGUAACCCCCGUGCUUCUCCUGAGAGGCCGAGGGGGGCCCAGCGCUGGGGCUCCCCCAUGUGCCAGAGCCAGUGGGCACCUCUGAGUCAGGGCGGGCCUGGUGAUCCCCUUUGGGUGGAGCAGGGCUGGCCUGAGUCACCAGUGCCAACAGCGGCAGGGACUUCCCAGGACCAGCCGUGGGGGCUGCCUCGGCUCUGCCCAGCUGCGGUCACUCGCUCUGAAGGAAGCGGAACUGAGGCCUCCAGCUCACAACCGCAGAGCCCCCACUUCCUGUCAGGCUGCCGGAUAGGAGCCCCCACUUCCUGUCAGGCUGAUGGACAGAAGGAGCUCCCAGUUCCUGUCAGGCUGAUGGAUGCAGGAGCCCCCAGUUCCUGUCAGGCUGAUGGACAGGAAGAGCCCCCACUUCCUGUCAGGCUGACGGAUGAAGGAGCCCCCAGUUCCUAUCAGGCUGACAGACAGGAGGAGCUCCCACUUCCCGUCAGGCUGACGGACAGAAGGAGCCCCCGCUUCCUGCCAGGCUGAUGGAUGAAGGAGCCCCCAGUUGCUGUCAGGCUCAUGGACAGGUCCACCAGCCCAGCGCUCAGGGCCCUGGCCUCCGGAGCUCACCUCUCUGGGCUGUGGCUUCACUGUCUGCCUUGGGACCAUUCGCUUGGUGGGAGUAGGGAGCUACAGCAGACUUUAUCCUCCUGGGAUACUGAGACUGCGGCCAGGGAGACCUGACUCACACCCCGAACACACUAGGAAGAGUCAGGCCAGAUUCGGGCGGGGUCUUCCCUGGGGCUGAGCUGCCCUCGCCCAGGACCCCGCGGCUGCUCUGGAGUUCAGGGUCCUAGUCAGACCCUCGGUGACGUCGGAGGCCUCUUCCUGGCCACAUCGGGCCCAACGGCCUAGUCGUGGUGGGAAGGCGUGUGGCUCCCUGUGGUGUGUGGAAGCGCUGUGUGCGGUGGGGAGGUCAGGCUGCCUUCAGAACCCGGGUGGUCCUGACUCCUGGGGUCUCUCGGGAGACAGAGCGGGGUCAGGCUGGGCCGGACCCCGACGUCUGCGGAUGGAACACGUUGCGGACCCCAGGGCCUGCUUUCUCAUGGCCUGCAUCUGCCUCCACCCAUCAGCUUUGGCAGAGGGAGCUGGUGGGAAGGACAGACUUAUUUAUAACCUGUUAUCUGCCGGGGAAAGCGCUUUGUAGUUCCGGGGAGGGCCCUGGUGGUGGUGAGGGAGCCUGCUGGCGGAGCCCUUUCUCCAUCAUCAAGGCUGGACUCGCCUGCAGCCUGACCCUGCUCUCAUCUCGCACGAGGGUGGGCGUCAUUUAAGCAUCUCCUGGAGGGUUUCUCCAGCCCAGAGUUUAUUAGGGUAACUUUGGAGCAGAAGUGACCUGGGCGGAUUCGCCUCUGAAAGGAUCACUGACUGUGCAGUCUUGGGGUGCAUGGGAUAAAGGGAAGGGGUGGGGCUGCAGCUGGCUCGGAGGCGAGGACUGAAGACUGGUCAAAUUUCAGAGAGUCAGUAGACAAGGUUUCCUGCCCGCUCAGAGGUACAGAGUGAGAAGGAGCUCACUGUUGGCUCUGAGACUCCUGGGCCUAGCAGUAGGGGUGAGGGGAUGGUGUCCCCAGAACUCAGAGGUAGGUCUGGGGGAUCGUCUUGGUUGGGGAGGGUUCAGAAGGGAGCUCUGGGCUGGAGACCCCAGUGCAGGAUGGUCAGUGUGGGGGCCAUGUGGGAGCCUGCAAGGCGGGGGGGUUGGCAGACCGUCCAGGGAGGGGAGACGGGAACGGCCCUGGACCCAGCCGUGAGCAGAUGCUGAGACUCGGCCUCCAGCGAGGGCGGCCGUCCCAGGACCGGCCUGGUCUCCCGCCGGGGGACACAGGAAGGGGCUCCUGCCCAGGUGAACGCGAGCUCAGUGGCCCUGGCCCAAGGGAACCCAAGCGGCUGCCGCUGUCCCCAAGCCCAGGGCUCCUUUCGCAGGGCUGCUGGUACUGAGCACCUGCUGUUUACCGGGCUUGGCGUCUCUGCAGAGAGCACCCUGUGCAACCUGCCCGUCACCGGCCACGGGACACCAGCUGCAUUCAGACAUGCACCCAGCUCUGCGCUGAGCGCCUGCCUCUCGGGCGUUGCCACAGACACCGCGGGUCUGCUUCCGCUGUCUUGCCCACCCUGUCUUUGAGGCCAGUGAAGGAAGUGUUUACCAAAGGUUGCACAAGAGGCAGGAGCGGGGGUGUCCUCAAACCCAGGCCUGGCUCCUCGGGCCCGGGCCCUGUCCUGCCCACGCUGUGACUGCCCCCUGAGCCCCCACAGGGAUGUGCAGAGGUGUCCAGAGGUUGCAGGGCCUUCCUUGCCCCAGGGGUGCCUGCAGGUCACAGCAGGACAGGGAUAAGACUACCUCCGCGCUUUGCUCUCUCUUGUUGAGAAAAACAACUUGGAGGCAGAGGCUGUCUCUGGCAGUCACACCCGGGCCUCAGCUCACUCCUCCAAAGGGCAGCUGAGAGUCCCCAGGGACACAGGUGUGAACCUCGAAUUCCAGGGUGCUCCAGGGGUCUGGGGUCAGAGCCAGGGCAGGGCAGCCUCUCAGGGAGGCCGGGUGCAAGGAGGGGCUGUGUCGCCUCAUCAACCUGGGGGCUGAGGGCGACCCAAGGAGUCCUGGGCACUGGGUCCACACCCCCCAGACACAGUCAGCGCCCCAGGCGUGGCAGUGAGACACAGUCCUGAGAAGUCCGGGGCUGCACGGGGGUCAGGCGGGGGCUGCUGGGUGCAAGUCUGAGACGAGGCCCUGAUCCAGCCACACCUGACGCUGCUCACCCUGGCCCAGCCAUCCCCUGUCUCCUUGGGCACCGUGAGCUGGGUCCCUGUCACAAGAGUUCUGAUCCCAAAACCGGAUUGUUGGGGUGGGCUGUGACUGCUCUUCCUAUCUGGAAGCUGUCACGUUCUGGGAGAUGACACGGAAUGGGGGGCCUCCUGUCGGUUCUCUGACCUGGGACUUGACUGACAAGGACAAAGGGAGCCUGCCCGCCCACCCUUCCGCUCUGAGCCUCCAGGCCGGACCUUCGUGCACGGGGGUGUUCAUGCAUGAAGGUGUUAGGGGGCCCCCUGUGACUGGGGCCCAACGAGUGCAGCCACGUCUCCGUGUGGCUGCCGAGAAGGGUGCGAUCUUCACGUCCCACAGGCGCACACGGGCCCCCUGCGGAGCGGACGCCAUCGUGACAGCGACUGGCACCGCUGUCCUGCUCAGGCUGACGCGGGAGAGCCUCCUGUGACUGCAGAUGUGGGCAAGGCGGAGAGGGUGCUCCCUCCUGCCUCCUGCUCCGCCCCGCCUCACCCCCCAUUCCUCCGCUUCUCUCCUCCUCUCCCACUCCCCUGACCCCUCCUCUCCUCCCAGGCCUCCUGGCCUCCGG
rnacentral:lncRNA from 1 species